CCUGAGUAUGCUUCUAUUCAGGCAAUUCGUUUUGGCCCCUACCUUCUCUCUGGCCUUACCAUGGUGACUGGGACAUCAAAACAGGAACAUAAAGUUCUCUCUCCGGCUGGAUAACUGCAAUUCCAGCCACAUACAUUCCCAGUUGAUCUCUCUUUCCCAGGAAGCCGAUGAUACCACCUUUGUCUUCACAAAUUCCAAUCAUUCAAUUACAAUGGAGAAUUUGCCAGAGUCUAGCACGGAUUCUACUGUUCAUGCCACCUUCAGACUUUUACCCCAAGACAUGAAUUCCUCUGAUUUCUCAUCACCAAUGGAUGUUGUUGGCAAGUCAGUCAUGGUAGAACCAUUUAGCUGCUGCAAGGCAAGUCAGCCAUGCGCAUGAUAGCAAAAUCCAAUUUUUGUUUUUCAGGAAAUCUCGUGCAAAGAGAAGACAAAGCUUGAGCCAUGCGCAUGAUAACAUGCGCCAUGCGCCCAUAUCCCACCCGACGAGUACUCCUGGUGAAAAUACGGCCAAAAACCGAUCAAAGGUUCCCCCUACCCACGAGGGUAUUACAAGUGUAGUAGCUUGAGGGGGGAUGCCCGGCGAGAAAGCACGUUGAGCGGGCCGUAGAUGACCCGACGAUGCUGAUCGUCACAUACGAGGGUGAGCACCGCCACUCACAGCCUCCUCCGCCGGAUUCGGUCACCGGAGGCUUGAUCGAGUCGUCGUGAGAAACAAGAAGCAAAG